CUGCAUAUGUGCUAGAGCCUGGAACAUAAUUUAGAUAACAUACUUUGGGACCAUAGAGUCAUACUAGCCCUGUCACUAGCAUCACAAGUAGGAACACCAAUCACAAGCAUACACAUAACAUGUUUAUUUAAAUCACGCACAUGUUACCAAGAGGGAGGGAGUAGGGUAUAUAUGUUGCCAUCUGUAUUUUUCCUGAAAAUUUGCAGCUUGAUCAAUAAUGGUUGACAACACUGGAAAACCUGCUUCGGUAGAAAAUGAGCUUUAGUGGCAAUUCAGCCACGCUACGGAGGGGAAAGCGUUAAGUGGAAUUUGGGUCUUCUCAGCGCAGUCAGGACAUUUAUCUCAGCGCAGCCAUCUCAGUUAUCUCAGCUAUCUCAGCGCAGCCAUGUCAGUUAUCUCAGCUACCUCAGGGCAGCUACCUCAGCGCAGCUAUCUUAGAGCAGCUAUCUAGUUAUCUCAGCUACCUCUGCGCAGCUAUCUCAGCGCAGCCAUCUCAGUUAUCUCAGCUAUCUCAGGGCAGCUACCUCAGCGCAGCUAUCUCAGAGCAGCUAUCUCAGUUAUCUCAGCUACCUCAGGGCAGCCACCUCAGUGCAAUUAUCUCAGCGCAGCUAUCUCAGUUAUCUCAGUAGUUUUCAGCGCAGAAUGUCCGAGCCGUUGUCAGUUCAGAAUGUCUAUGCUCCGCGCAGGAAUAUCGUAAGCCGCGAAAGUUAGACAGGGUUCUUUGAUUGUCUAUGCUCCGCGCAGGAAUAUCGUAAGCCGCGAAAGUUAGACAGGGGUGUACCAUCUUGAGGGCCGCUUCGGCGGGGGUGUACCAUCUUGAGGGCCGCUUCGGCGG
rnacentral:lncRNA from 1 species